AUACGUAGGGGGCAAGCGUUAUCCGGAUUUACUGGGUGUAAAGGGAGCGUAGACGGUAAAGCAAGUCUGAAGUGAAAGCUCGGGGCUCAACCCCGGAACUGCUUUGGAAACUGUUUUACUGGAGUGCAGGAGAGGCAAGCGGAAUUCCUAGUGUAGCGGUGAAAUGCGUAGAUAUUAGGAGGAACACCAGAGGCGAAGGCGGCUCACUGGACUGUAACUGACGUUGAGGCUCGAAGGCGUGGGGAGCAAACAGGAUUAGAUACCCUGGUAGUCCACGCGGUAAACGAUGAUCACUAGGUGUCGGCGGCCAUAGGCGGUCGGUGCCGCAGCAAACGCAAUAAGUGAUCCACCUGGGGAGUACGUUCGCAAGAAUGAAACUCAAAUGAAUUGACGGGG
rnacentral:rRNA from 1 species